AACCCGAGCCGAUCCCUAACUGCCUCCCUCAUUUCCUAUGCCCUAGUCGCGCGACUCCGGCCGCCUGCACACGCCGCCAGCUGCAGAAAUCGGCCGUUUCUUUCUCGCAAGCACCCCCUAUAUCAUCAACCUUCACCACCUUGUUCGAGCAGCCACCUUAGAGGGCUCACCCACCUCGAGAUCCUCCCCUGGCUAUGCCUCCGACCUCAGACGACCCCCUCUGCCAGUCGCCACCGUCUCCGCUCACCAUCGUCCCUGCUUGCCAUCGUCACCACCUAG
rnacentral:lncRNA from 1 species